rnacentral:rRNA from 1 species
UCUACGGGAGGCUGCAGUGAGGAAUAUUGGUCAAUGGGCGCGAGCCUGAACCAGCCAAGUCGCGUGAGGGAAGACGGUCCUAUGGAUUGUAAACCUCUUUUGUCGGGGAGCAAAAGACGCCACGCGUGGCGUUCCGAGAGUACCCGACGAAAAAGCAUCGGCUAACUCCGUGCCAGCAGCCGCGGUAAUACGGGGGAUGCGAGCGUUAUCCGGAUUUAUUUGGCGUAACGAGGGAGCAGGCGGCCUGGUGGGUCUAUUGUUAAAAGGCAAUGGCUUAACCAUUGGAAGGCGAAGAAACCGGCAGGCUAGAGGUCUAAAGAGGAUCGUGGAAUUCCAUGUGUAGCGGUGAAAUGCGUAGAUAUAUGGAGGAACACCAGUGGCGAAGGCGACGAUCUGGGAAGAAACAGACGCUGAGUCCCGAAAGCGUGGGGAGCAAAUAGGAUUAGAUACCCCUGUAGUC